GUGGGGAAUUUUGGACAAUGGGCGCAAGCCUGAUCCAGCAAUGCCGCGUGCAGGAAGAAGGCCUUCGGGUUGUAAACUGCUUUUGUACGGAACGAAACGGUCCGGGUUAAUACCCUGGGCUAAUGACGGUACCGUAAGAAUAAGCACCGGCUAACUACGUGCCAGCAGCCGCGGUAAUACGUAGGGUGCAAGCGUUAAUCGGAAUUACUGGGCGUAAAGCGUGCGCAGGCGGUUUUGUAAGACAGGCGGGAAAUCCCCGGGCUCAACCUGGGAAUUGCGCUUGUGACGGCAAGGCUGGAGUGCGGCAGAGGGGGAUGGAAUUCCGCGUGUAGCAGUGAAAUGCGUAGAUAUGCGGAGGAACACCGAUGGCGAAGGCAAUCCCCUGGGCCUGCACUGACGCUCAUGCACGAAAGCGUGGGGAGCAAACAGGAUUAGAUACCCGGGUAGUCC
rnacentral:rRNA from 1 species